UACGGGAGGCAGCAGUAGGGAAUAUUGGUCAAUGGACGGAAGUCUGAACCAGCCAUUCCGCGUGCAGGAAGAAGGUCCUAUGGACUGUAAACUGCUUUUAGCAGAGAAGAAACGCCUUCAUUUAUGAGGGUCUGACGGUAUCUGCGGAAUAAGCACCGGCUAAUUCCGUGCCAGCAGCCGCGGUAAUACGGGGGGUGCAAGCGUUAUCCGGAAUCACUGGGUUUAAAGGGUGGGUAGGCGGGACAUUAAGUCAGUGGUGAAAGUUUGUUGCUUAACGAUAGAAUUGCCGUUGAUACUGAUGUUCUUGAAUUGGGUUGAGGUUAGCGGAAUGUGACAUGUAGCGGUGAAAUGCAUAGAUAUGUCAUGGAACACCAAUUGCGAAGGCAGCUAGCUGGGCCUUGAUUGACGCUGAGGCACGAAAGCGUGGGGAGCAAACAGGAUUAGAUACCCUGGUAGUCCACGCCGUAAACGAUGAUAACUCGAUGUUUGGUAUUANGAGUGAGCAUCUAAGCGAAACGCGAUAAGUAUCCACCUGGA
rnacentral:rRNA from 1 species